UACGUAGGGCGCAAGCGUUGUCCGGAAUUAUUGGGCGUAAAGAGCUCGUAGGCGGUCUGUCACGUCGGAUGUGAAAGCCCGGGGCUUAACCCCGGGUCUGCAUUCGAUACGGGCAGACUAGAGUGUGGUAGGGGAGAUCGGAAUUCCUGGUGUAGCGGUGAAAUGCGCAGAUAUCAGGAGGAACACCGGUGGCGAAGGCGGCAUCCUGGACCAACACUGACGCUGAGGAGCGAAAGCCAGGGGAGCAAACGGG
rnacentral:rRNA from 1 species